AAAAAUAAUUAGCUAUAGGAAAAGGUAGAAAAAAAUGUGAUUUAGUUGUUCUUUUUCCUCAAAGGUUAAGUGGAAUGAGUGAAUACCCUAGACCUUCUAAAAAAAUAUCAUUUAAGUAAAUUCACCUAAAUACAACAAUAGGAGCUCAGAUGCAUGGUGUUACUGCCUAACCAUUCCUUUGACAGUCCUUAAGCAGUUAAAUGUGACCUCUUAGACUGAAUAAUACAAUUCUAUAAUCAUGUCCACAGAGCAUAAACGACAGCAUGAUCAUGUUGCAUUUGAUACAAAAGCUUUCCAGUAAAAAACAAGAAGAAAGAAAACACCUUUACUCACAACAGCAAUGAAAUUAUUGUCCUUUGCUCAUGGUUCAUAAAUUCUGUGUGACAUUUUUUUAAAAAGUAAUCUGAAGAGUCAUUGUCAUUAUAUUACACUUUUGGCUUUACUGUCACUUCAAGAGUUAAACAAAAUGCACUAAAAUUUACACUUACUUUCAAUUUGCCCAAGAUGUAUAAUUCCAUUUAUAAUUUGAAAACAAAAUUUUAGAUAGAAAACAAUGGAUGCCUUUUGCUCUUUCCUGCAAUAGCUCAUAGUAUAAUCGCUUAAGAAACACUUUAGCAAAAACAACAAUUUAAAGACCUAUAUUAAAAUCAUGCCCUCCUAUCUCUGAAAUUGAAAAUAUGUUGUUUCCUUAUGUGAUUUUUUGAGGAUAAGAACAAUUGCCAACCAUUUGUUUUUUAGAUAUCCUGGGACAGUGGAGGCCCCAAACCAGUGAUGGUAUAUAUCCAUGGUGGCUCAUACAUGGAAGGCACUGGAAAUUUAUAUGAUGGGAGUGUCCUGGCAAGCUAUGGCAAUGUGAUUGUCAUCACGGUCAACUAUCGACUGGGGGUACUAGGCUAAAUCAGGACUGGAAACAUUAUUGCCAAUAGAUCAAAUCUAGCCUACCAUAUGACGUAUAUAGUCUAUGAGUAAAUUGUUGGGGUCUCCUUGGUGUGAGACUGGAUCCUGAAGACAGUAUCUGGCGAAACCUAUUACAAGAAGGGCACAGGGGACCAGAACUCUUCGAGUUAAGGCAAGGUUUAUUGGUGAUAGUCUUCUUUAAUACAUUUUUCUGUAGGAUACAUCAAUCAUUAACAGUUUACAAUGCUAGUCAACUAACCACCAGUUAUAUCUCGUCAGCUAUGCUCCUUUAAUCUUAGUGCAUCUUAUCUAAAUCAUCCUGGCUAUUUAAAGCUUCUAAAAAGUUAGCUAUUCUUAACUAGUCUUAUACCAAGCAAAUAUUUGAGAGUCCCAAGUGACUACAGCAGAAUGAACACUGUGGGAUUGACAAACAGCCUUCUGAAGCUAUCUUUAACUUCUCUAUCUGGGCCUGGCAUAGACAUCAGGACAAUCUGUCUUCCCAAGGCUGUCCAAGGGCCCGAGAACUUCUCAUAUCCUCCACAGUAAAUGUUAUUUUUAAUAACUCUAGAUCCACGUCUACCCUUUUAAGGCUUUCAUAAGUGUGAGGCCAGAGGGACAGGGAAUCUAACUUCCCAUUUUCAAAGCGCAAGAUCUUCAUAGAAUUAUCUGCCCAAAUCCAAAACCAUCUUGAGGUCUUCAACAUUUUACUGAAAGCCAAAUAUGCAAAGUACAGAGAUCCAAGGAAAGAUUUAUUGAUACUAGGCUAAAGCAACAUUCAUCUUCACCAGUAGAGUAUUUCUAGUAUAUAUACAAAACAAUUUAGGCUCAGUAAUCAAUUAUUUAGAAUUUUAUACUUAUAAGAGUAUGUAAUGAUAUGGAAUAUUAUAGCAGAGAAACCCUAGUAAUCAUAAAAUGAGUUUUUAAGGUCACAAAAGUAAUAACGAAAAGAGCUCUAUUUUACAGCUUAGUUUUUGACUCCAACCUCACAUCAUUUGGAAACCAGCAUAGAAUUCAAGAAAAGCAUCUAAGAAUAAUCUUAAAAUUGUUGAUCAUCUGAAAAUGAAUGAUUAAUGUAAUUCAACCCAUCAAAAUCUGGAGUCUAGGUUUAUCUCCUCUUAGCUUCUAGACUAUCCCCUUUCUGGUGUUUAACACAGAAUUUGUGAGGAAUCUGUGUGUUAUCGUGGCCUUCCUAUGGCAGGGGAGGAGAAAGAAUCAUAAUUCAUACAUACAUUUGUAUUUUAAACCAGUAACUAAAACACAGAAAUGUGAGCAGAAUAUUUGGGGGAUAUUAUUUUUCUUUGGUUGGUUAUAGGUAUUUUUAGAAGGUUUUCUCUUUGUGGCUUGGCAUUUCUUUCUAUUGUAUAUUACAUUUGUAUAAUGUAAAAUUACACUUAAAGCUGUUGGCAAAUUCAUUUUAGACUUUAGUCUUUUUGUUAGCUGUCUCCUGAAGAAUAUUUCUCAUUCUACUUAUUCAAGACUUGCAUAUUUUGUAUGUAAAACUUAGGUAUGUGUGGUCCUCAUCUCUAAAUUCCCUAUAAGUGAAGAAAGAUUUUAUUUUGCAAACUGAAGUAUAAAAUAGAGGUAUCUCUCUUAAGGGUACUCAAGACAUUCUGAUUUGAUCAUUUCAUUUUGGAAACUUUAUUGGAAAAUGAUCUGAAUUUACACAGAGGGCUUAACUUCUUUUUUUAAGAAUAGGCCCUAAAAUGCUAUGGGAUUUUACUGAUUUACUCUGAGAAUCCCUGCACUGCCCUUCAAGAAAUCUCAACUGAAAGGACACACUGCAGUUGCUGCAUCAGAGUAGAAGCCAUUUGUCUCACAACAUUACACAGUGUAUAUUGAGACUUCAGAUACAUUUAGAUGGUCUAAAAGGCAGCUUUUAUAUUUAAGUCAUUUUAAUGGCAAGCUAGUAUAAAAACUAAUGAUCAGAUCUUCUGAUACAGAUUUUAUUAUGACGAGUUUGUACAUUGCCUGGGAUCCAAAAUGUGGUUACUUAUACACUAAGCCCUCAACAGAAUGUGAGACUUGAUAAUAGUAAUCAGUGUUCAUACUUUUUCAAGAAAUCUUUUGGUUUCAGGUUUCACCUACUCUGCCGUAUUCCAUAUUCUUAUCGUAACUUCUUCAACUUGGAUACUUAUAUUGCCAAAUCCCAUACUUUGCCUGCUCCUCUUGGAUAGGAUCCUCAAAGUUAACUAAGCUGAGCCCAUUCAGUCUCCAUUAUCCCACAAGAAGAGACACGUGUUUGGACACCACUGUGAUCCACGUCUUCAAUCUCCCUCCAUGGGUGAGAAUUUCACAACUGACAUAGAAAUCGCUGGCUUAAACAGUGAAAAUAUGAGUUCCAAGAGACUUUGUAUGAGGAUAAGAAAAAUGUAAUAAUUCAGUUAUAAAUCAAUCAAAAUGCAUGGAGCAAGAUUUUAUAAUAAUUAUUUUUAUAUUAACUUGUUCCUCACAAGGUAGAAUAAUGUAAGAUUAUACUUAUUACUACACAUGAACUCUGAGUAUUCAAUGGCUACUACAUAUGUGUUUUAAGUUGCCAAGCCUCAGUCAAUUAUUUUCUUUAAGAGACUAUUCUCAUUCCUUUUUACUACUUGGAGGUAACCAUAAAAUAGGCACAGAAUAGUGUACUUUGUCUUGUAACUGGACUGAAUGAAAACAUGAUUGCAAUCAUAUGAAGCUUAUAACUAUUCUGUAAGCCCAGAAUAUUACAUCUAAAGAUGGCAUCAAGAGCCCUGAUUUUGCAAAGAUGUUUUCUGACUAUGUGCCAGAUACUGUUCUAACUAGUGAUCACAACAGAAUAUAAGACUCAGUACUUGUAUUCAAAAACUCACAGGAGGUAAACACAAAUAGAAUACUAUGCAUUUAGUGCUGCUUAUUUUUCUGUAAAAAUCUUUGGUUUUGUCACCUAACAACUUUGAUGGCUCACAGCAUUCUACGUAAUGUGAAUAUCAUGUGUAAAUGUCAAGAAAAGUUGAACAUAGCCGGGCCAGGAAUUUAGCUCAGUGGUGUCGCCACCUGCCUCACAAGCCAAGGACCCGAGUUUGAUCCCUGGUACCAAAAAAAAAAUAAAUAAAUAAAUAAACAACUGACUUGUAAGGUGGAGAGAUAAAGAAGGACGUUGUAUAACUCUAUUAGGUGUUUAUUCUGGGCACAAGAAAUCCCACUCCUGGGUAUUUCCAGGAGGCUGGAACUUCAGCAAUUCAGAUCUGCAACAAUUUAGGACACUGGUACUUAGAUCUAAGGAAAGGAGUUUGGAAUGGAAGGAAGAGGAUGGUUUAGCCAGAGAGCAUAUCAGACUUGACUAGAUGAAGAGAAUGAAAUAGAGGAAUGAAGGUUAAUAUGGCACAGACAGAUGGUGAGGCCUUAACAUUUGUCAUGUAGGUUUAUGCUGAAGACACAUUCAAUAUAUGCAUAGUAUUUUUAUAAUAUAUGCACAUGUUUCUUUAAAUUCUUUGCUAAGUCAAGCUCUCCUUCAUUGUAUUUACAUAUCUGCUUACUAGAAGGAACAGAAGACAGCCUCAGAUUAGGAAGAGGUGACUGAAAAUUGAGAAUUACCUGUUGGUGAGGCCAAGGCUACCUCAUCAAUGGAGGUUUCCUAGGUACAGCAUAGAGAAGAGAAGGUAUGAAUUACACUUGUGGGCCAGAGCAAUCAAGAGCCUCCUAAAACAAUGUAAUGAUUGCUGAAACCUGGGACAAUUUGUCUUCUGUUUUAAAGUCUCAGAUGAGAUUCAGUGUCAGUCUCAACCAAAUUCCUUGAAAUACUGUCAUAUAUUUCAGGGAGCUGUAAGGCGAUCUUCUAUUGCAUACUUUCAAAUCCUGAUGUGCCCUCUAGAAGUUGGCUUUAAAAACACUUGUAGUUUUUUUCCCCCUAGACUCAGAAGACUGUCUUUUUUUUCUUAAUUUCCAGCUAGCUGCAAAGUUUACUUUUUGAAGUACAGAUGUACUUUUGUAAGAAAUUUGAAGAACUGCAGUCUGACAGUACAAUUUAACCUUUAAGAACUUUGUAAUUGCAUUCAACUUACAUGGCUUUAGGAUGCUGAUUUUAUUUUAUUUUUUGAAAACACAACAAUCUGAGACUUUCAGUUUGCAUAUACAUUCCUGUAGGUUUCUUCAGGCACCACAUAUAGUUUCAUCUUGCAUGGCCUUUUAAAAAUAAAACCGACAUGAUGUAAAAUAUACCUUUCUUAUUUUUCUUUUCUUUUUUUGGUAUCGGGAAUGGAACUCGGGACCUUGCGCUUGUGACACAGGCAGUGGCACCACUGAGCUAAAUCCCUGGCUCAUCCUUUCUUAUUUUUCUCCUAUCUCCUUUUAUCUCUCACUUUUCCUCUUUUCCAUUUCAAUCCAAUAAAUAUUCAUUCUCAGGCUAAUCCUAUUUAAGGAAUCAUACUAGUCCUGGAAACAGGAAGAGAAUGAAAAACUAGCUCUGCAGUCCAGCGACUAGAAUCUAUUUCUUCUCUGAUUUUCUCUUUUUAAGGGACACCUUUUUUGCAUUUUCUUGCUAAUUUUCUUUGCCUUUUCCCAUUCUAAAUGUAAACCUUAAAUAUUUUUGGACAUGAAUGAGAAUAAAACUUUUUUGUUUAAUUGGUUUCAAGUAAGCAAGCACAAAUAAAUGGUGUCCAGGCCCACCGUAUAUUUUCAUCUUCAGUAGAGCCAGUGAAAGAGCAUGUGGAUGAGCUAUGUUUCAUUUCUUCUGCUAGACCACUUCCACAUUAUAGGAAAAUGCCUCUGAUCAGUUUUGACCCUAAAAAGGCACACUUGUAUUUAUGACUCUAUUUGGAAGUCAUUGAAGGCAUGGUGAUAAGAUCUGACAGAAAAUGUCAACAGAUAACAGAACCAAACUGAGCUCCUUUCAGAUAGGUGAGGGAAAAGCUCACCUCACCAGACCCUGACUACGCAAAGCUGGAGACGCUGUAGUGCUCCCAGGAGAAGGCUAUGCUGAGUUGGCUUUCCAAGCCCCAUAUGUUUCUGUAAUGGCUGCUUUUGCCAUCUUUGAGAGGUGAGGAUUCUCGUAGAACUUGGAAAGUUUCUUUGACAGAAUGUUAAGCCUCUGUGGCUCCUCUGCAGAGCAAGCUCUAUCUGCCUGAUGCAAAUACCUGCUAACAAAUUCAGCAUCUCUCUAUGUGCUUGCUGAUUUCUCUUUCCCAGAUGGACCAUCCUCAUAGUAGAAAGAGGCCUCAGGCCUGCCUGAAAUCCAACUUCUAUUAAUUUUCUACAGAUGAAGGAUACUGUGAUCUUAUUGUUCAUUUCUUUAUUCUUACUUUGUAUAGUGUGAAUUUACAACUUCAGCCUAAUUGUUUAAAGACUCUAGAGUAAGAAAAACCAAAGAUUUUUGUAACAACCUCCAACCCCAAUUUGUACUGCCUGCUUAGAGCAAUAUGUUAAGGAAGACUCUGAGGCUCCCAUUCUGGUUCAAUGAGAGAGAGCUCUGGCCCAUCAGGGAUACACUCCACACACAACAGAGGGGAAUAAUGGCAUGUGAUCCUGACAUUUCCCAUUCCUGAUAGAGCGCUAUCCUAAAUCUCUACAAGAGGGGAAGACAGACUUCUCAUGUGGCCCUCCCUUGGGCUUACAUCGGCCUGUUGGACUCUAGCAGUGAGUUAUAUUACCAGAUCUGCCAGGGACAAUGGAUGUGAUAAGAAAUACAUCACUUGGGGCAUUUCAAGCAAGCACAGAAAUGGUGGGUAAAAAUUACAGAAGACAAGGAUUCAGCACCACUUUCUCUAGCAAAUUUCCCCCUGUGAUUGUAAAGGAAGUCUCAGGGAAUAACCUUUUCUGGAAGCAAAAUGGAUGCCACUGACAUGGUAGAAUUUGUAGGGAUCUGAGAACUCUUGUCCUAACAGAAAAUAAAAAUCAUUAGCUUGUGAAUGAUCCUUGGAAUUUAAUCAUGGAGAGUAUGUUCUUUGUAGUCAAUUAAGGAAAUUAAGCUCUGCCAUGUAAGUAGAGUGUAGAAUUAAAAAACUACUGGAGUGAGAGCAGACAGAAGGGUCAUCAAUUCCAAUGCUAUGAUUUUCUAGUUGAGAAAACUGAGUCAUCUUAACCAAGUGAGUCUCUUUAUUUCUGAGGGGAAAGAAAACCAAUAUUUCAAUUGUUACAUCAAUUGUUUCAGAAGUUAGGAAACUGAAAGGUAGAGAGUAUGAAUAAUGUAUUCAAUAAUUACACCACUAGAUUAGUAGCACAGUCAGAACUUGAACAGUGCAACUUUGUCUGGGUCAUAAACCUGUAUGCUUUUUACACUUAGGUCAUAUUAUUCUAUGAUCACAUUUUUUAUGAUCUAAAUCAUCCGUUCUCUUCCCCAUCCAAUCACCUAUGAGAUAUCUUACUCUACUGAAAUCUGUGGACUUGACAAAGAUCUGAUAAACUAAUUUAUGACAUAUUAAUAUUUGAUAUGACUCAAUGCCAUAUAAUCUUUAUUGUCUAUCUCCAAUGUAAUGGUCUAUGGGGAUAUAGAAGAUAUCACCCUGACUUUAAAUUUCCAGAGUAUUACUAUACUGCCAGCUGUCUAGUCAACCUAUAAAUUUUAAAAACAAACUUGGGAUUCAUUAUAAUUACAUUUUCCAUCAUUUCCAUCAUGGAAGUGAAACAGACUAUUUCAAAUCUUCUUUUUCACCAAUAUAUAUUUCUUUCUUCUUCAUGUUUAGUAAAUAUGAAUAAUGUCCACCUUGGUAAGGUUCUCUUUGAUUAAUUAAUAACUCCUGAAAAAUGUUUUUCAAAACCUCAAAUAUAAAGAAAAUUGUGAAAUGUCUUCUACAGCUUCUGGCAUUUUUCCCUUUAGGAACAGUUGAGGGCUUUCCCAUCUGCUAUUCUAGUUAUCAUGAAAACCUAAUGAAAUAGAAUUGGUGGCAUGAAAUAUCUAUGUAUUAUUGCCUCUGGACAAGCUCACCAGGCAGGAAAGAUUCAAAACCCAGGAAGCCCAGAGCUCUAUUUCUUUAUAAAAGACAUGCAUCAUCAGCACUUCUCACAUCCCUUUCUGAAAGGAUAAAUGUAAGAGUUUUUGCCCAGAAAUUCCUUAUUAUUGGGUUGAAAUGUUAUGUCAGGUUGUUGCCCUCUUAUCCUGACACGUAUUUAAAAUAUGUAUAGCUACUUCAAAUUGGUGAAAAACAGUUUCUUCAUGGUAUUUCCAGAGUUCAGGAUGCUGCAGAGAAAUUUUUUAGAGUCAAGGACAAGUACCCUAUGUGCCCAUUUCAUCAGAUUUAUGUUUUCAGGCUGAGUCUUUUCUCUCUUUUUGUCUCAUGUAGAAGGUUGAGAGUGAUUGUGAAAGAAAAGAGUAUCAUAGAGAAGGUGUAUCUUAGUAUUGUUUUAAUUUUCUCUUUCACCUCCAACCUACUACAGAUAAAAGGAAAACAGUAAAAUUCCUAUAGAAAUAUUGACAAUUACAUUUUAGUUAAAUUUCUAAAAUUGGGGAAUAAAAGGGAUUUUUUGUAACUAGUAAGUUAUAAGAAAAUAUUUAAAUGAUAAUACCCCACUUGAUCAGAUUGCAAUGAAAACAUCAUAUGCAUCCAAUGGUUCUCAAUUCAGAAGUGUGCAUUAGAACCACCUGGGAAGGUUCUGCAACUUAUCAUUUCCUCCAUCCCAGCCUUCAAUGAUGGAGUUAAAAACAAGUCUUGAAAAUACUUAGCCUAAUAUGUUUAAAGAACUACACAAAAUGUUUGCAUUUCCAAGCCAUAAAUUCACUUGUGGUAAAUUAUCUUUAAAAAAUUCAAAAUAAGUAAAAAGCUACAUGAGAAGAGCUCAAAAGUAAUUUAUUAUACUUGAGAUUUUAAAAAGCCUGAAUAUUUAAUGGGCAUCAGUAAUUUAUAUCCUCAUAAUCUCACACCCAGCAAUAUAACACCACCUGCCUAUGCUGGUUUUGAAGCCUGCUUAGUGCAAAUCUGGCUCUAAAAUCAAGCAGGAUAUAACCUACUGGUGACAGAUAUGUGAGACUCUUGUGAGUCUGGCAAAGACAAGAACAAUUAGAAUUAAUGUCAUUAUUGAAAUUAUAUUUAGAAGAAAAAUAGACACUGCUUGUAAAUGACGACAAGGAAAUAGAAGGAAGUGAAAAUGAUUUGGCUUGUUGAGAUAGUAGGAUUGUGCAAUGACUAUUUUUCUUCUAUUUUGAAUUCUGUUAACAUAAUUUUAAGGUUGGCUGAAACAUUUUAGUGAGAGUUCUUGGCAGGUUAAAGACUUUUUUUACCUUUAUUAAUUUAUUUAAAGAGUAAAAUAUAAGAACAUCAAUGAGUAGCUUUAAACUCAAUGCCUCAAGUAUCACCAUUUAUUUGUCUUAAUGAUCACAAAAUAUCUGUUCCUACGAGUGGAAUGGGGAAAUGCAUUAUUCUUCCAUUACUGGCACAUACUUGUAUUAGAACAUCAUCUCCCAGGAUUAAUAUUAUCAUUUUUAGGAACUGACUAGCAUAUGCCUUUUAUUUUAUUAGCUGGUCACAAAGCCAAGUCCUUAUAAAUGGCCCAAGGCAAAUAAAAUUUGAUUAGAGGAAAUAGUUUUACUUAAGAUAAAGAAAAAUCCUAGAAAAUGGUUUUGAUAUAUGGAAGAGAAAAGCAAAGCAAACUUCAGUUUAACCCUGGAUUUGACUAUCAAGUAAGAGGCUGUUGAUAAACUGCUCAUGGGGGCUUACAUUGCAGUUCAUUCUUUGUCACAGAAUUUCUCAACAGAAGCAUCUCAUGUUCCAGACUGUUGUGAAACAAAAUUGAAAUUUUUUUAUGUGUGCGUUUCUGUGUGUGUGUGUGUCUGUGUGUCUGUGUGUCUGUCUGUAUGUGUGUGUUCUAUGCCAGGUACAGAUUGAUCCCAGAGAUCUUAGACUUUACAAUCUCAAAUCAAGACUCACUUAUUCAGUCUCCACUACAAUAUAUCCUGUUUACCUGAAUAUGCUAAUGGUUGCUAAUUAUUUACAGUGUUGUUUCAACUGCAGUGUUGACAUUUAAAUGUGGGUUCUUCAAGGAAUGUGUUCUCUGUAUCCAGCCUCCUUUCAAAAUAGCUUACAGUGAAGACUGGUAGGUCAAGGAGCAAGAGAUUUGUGAAACUAGGCCUGUUGGGGUUAUACCCUGAAGUCUUUGCAGCCUUGAUUCCAUGCACCUGAAACCAUUAGCUCAGGGUGCUCUGUUUCUUCUGUUCCUUCCUAAUAAUUGCUGGCAAACAUACCACUAGAUGAAGUGCUUCUGAAAUGCUAAUGGACACAUGAAUCACCUUGGUCCCUUGUAAAAUGCAGAUUCUGCAUUACUGGAGCAGAGAUGGGGCUUCAGAUUCUGUCUUUCUAACAGGCUUUUGGAUGAAGCUAGUUGGAUUGCUUAUCUAUGGGCUAUACUUUGAGGAGCAUGGGAAUGAGCUAACCUGUGAAAGACAUAGAAGAAAAUGCAAUCUUCUCUUUACAGCAGACUAGUUAUCAGUCUGCAUUACCAAUUCCGUAACCUGUCUGACAUUUUCAGUCUGAAAUUUUAACUUUUGAAAUUUCUUCCAUUUUAUUAUAUUCUAGCACGUUUACCUCUUCUUUUCUUAUAACACAGAAACAUAAAAUAGGAAUAAUAAAGUAGUAAUUCUUAAUAAAGUUUGUACCUUUAAUAUCCAUAUUAGUGGGGUUUUCAUUGCUGUAACAAAAUAACUGAGAAAAUAUUUAUUUUGUCUCAUGGUUCCACAGAAUUCAAUCUAUUGUUGCUUGAUUUGGUUGCUUUGGGCUUGUAGCAAGAGAGUAUAACUUGGCAGAAGCAUGUGAGAGAGGAAACCUGUUUACCUAGUGACCACUGGGAAGUGAAGGAUAGGGGAGUGGACCAGCAUCCCAACAGCUACUUCAAGGGUGUACCCCCACUGUACUUCCUUUUUCUAAUGCCCACUUUCUAAAAGUUCUACAGCCUCCCAACAGAGCCACAGGCUGGUGACCAAGCCUUUCAGUACUUGGCCUUUGGGAAACACGUUGAAACUCUUAAACCAUAACAAUAUACUUUGAUUUAGAUUUUAAAUAGUGAAUAAAAUUUACAUGCAACUUCAGCAUAUACAUUCUAUUGAACUUCUUAAGAUUACAAAAUUAGUAAACUUUCAUAAAUAGUAUAUAGUGCUCUCAGCUAAUGUGUACAUUAUAUAAAUCUUUAUGUGCUUGCUUGGGGAAAAGAAAAUUGAUGUACCAAAUAGAACUUCUAUUUGGAAUAAGAGACAUGAUUUUAAAUUGAGCAAUUUUAGUUUCACUAUUUUGGCAAUUUUCUAUUUUCUUCAAAUGUUUUUCCUCAUCUGUAAAAUGGGUACAAUAACAACUACAGGAGAUAUUGUACAUCGGAUAAGAAAAUUUAUAUGAAAAAUGUUUCAGAUUGAAAGCAAUCUGUAUAAUUGUUAAAUAUCAAUUACUCAUUGAUUUUUAUGUAGCUUGCCUGAAGUAAUAUAUUUCAUUGUAUUUCAUAACCAAUGUCUAUGAAUCUCCUUAAAUUUAAAUACAAGAGAAUAAUUUUUUUAAAACUUCC
ensembl:lncRNA